GUCUGGCUCCAUGUAAGCCCGGAGGAGACAUGCUCAGGCUUGUAUUUCUGAAAGAGCACGCUGGUGCUGCCCGGAGAACAGCUUGGAGGGGACAAGACCGGGGUCAGGGAGACAAGCGAGGAGGCCACGGUCGUAUCGAGUGUAGAUGACGAAACCCAGACGAGGGAGGUGGCGCUGGCCUGGAGAGACGAUGUCAGAGUCAAGAGUGGUUUGCAAAGUCGAACUGGCGCACUUGGUGAGAACUUGGAGGGGACACGGAACAGGAGUCUGGGAGGAGGGGGACAUGCUAGGUAUAGGCUCUCGUGGGCUACAAAGCCCUCCUUCUCCCUAGGAGGGAAGUUGGGCUUGACGUAGACUUGGCGGUGUCUACUUAGGGACUUGGGUGGCAUCUGUCACUCCUGGGCCUGUUCCCGCUACUGAACCAAGAGGGGUUGCCUUGCCUGACUCCUAACAGUCUCCCAGCCCCCCUGCCUCCGGUACCUUCCUCCCCACCAACUUGAGGAUGGAGGCAGACAAGCCUGGGUCCAGACCUCUCUUCUCCCAAGACCCCCUCCCAUCCCCGCCAGCAGGAUACUCUGCUUCUUCUUGGCCAGGGGCCGGGGAGAUCCAGCCUGUCCCAGGAGAUGGGGGACCCAGAGGGACCCCGCCCCAGGGCUUGGAAGCCUCCCUCUCCUUGUUUCCACAGCGGCCCCGGCCCAGAAACAAUUGAGGAGACCCAGGGGGAAGCCGACUUUGCCAAGUCACUGCCCUGUCUCAGGCGGGUGCGGAUGGGUGGUGGGGGGCAUCCCCAUGGAGGCCCAGAACAAGGCAGGGGGUUGGGAGAAGCGCCCAGCGCAGGCCUGGCUGGGAUCCCAGCAGGAAGUGGGGGCACUCAAAGCGAGGCGCUGGAGAGCGAUGAAUGAACAGACGGGCAGGGUGACAGGAACCAACCCGGGGUAAGGGGCACCCAGGCUACCAACAGCGGGAAGCGGUUACCCUCCACCGCCUCCAGGGUCAACAGGUGUUCCAGAGCCUAUAGCGUGCUCGGAGCUGGAGGACGACGAGCUGCCAGGGCUGUGGCCAAGCAGGGAGGAGCAGGGAGACGCAAAUCCUGGACCUCCCUUUCCUCGCUCCCAUCCGUGUGCUGCCGCAGCCUCCCGCCGGCAGGACCUAACAGAAAGGUAGAGCAGCCACAAAAGUCAGCCCCCUAGGACACAGAGCAGGAUGGGGGGCGGACUGGGGCAGACGGAGAACGGCCCGCACAGUGCGGAGCCUGGGUGAAAGCGCCAGCCGCACUGUUUUCCAGAUGCUCAGGGAGAUUUUCCACCUCUUGAUUUUCCGCAUCAGGGGAGCUGGUAUAACCAUAAGUAGCCGGCUGCCUUCACCUACAAGCCCUCCACGUCUCCCUCUGUUCUCAGGUUCCCCCCCAUCUUUUAUUCAGCAGCAAGCACCCCCCCCCCCCCCGUACACAGGGCCACCCCCACAGCAUCUCCAGUCCCGUGAAUCCUCACACUAGAUUGGAAGCUCUCUGAAGCAUCUGGGUGUGCAAGGCUUGGGGUCUAAAGACCUGGGUCAAGGUCCUAGCUCCAUCCCCACCUUCGUGCAUCCCUUCACAUAUCUGCAGCGUGCUUUUCCCACCCCUUAAAAAAAGGCAUUACAAACACUUUGUUCUUUUGAUCCGCACCCCUUAGUACCCCUUUCCCAUGUGCCCUGAGAUACUAUUUCAGGAAGGAGCUGCAUUCACUCAUUCACACAAGCACGUAAAUGUCCGACAACCAAUUCUGAGGUCUUGCAAGGGACAGGGAGGACAAGCAGUUGAGUGAGUCAGUGAGUUUGUAGGGUGUUUCUUAUUCAGGUUUGCAUCGCUGGUGCCUAGUACAAUGACCUACUCCUCACGGGCAGAGGGUAAAUAUUUGUACAAUUGUCCAACUCUCAUCUUAGGUAUCUGUAUCCUAGGUACCCAGACGGAGCUUGGCAAACAGAAGGUGCUCGUGUGUGUGUGAUCGGUACAUGAAAGGAUUACCGAGUUCAGUGAGGCCCAAAGGCUGCAUUUGAGUGUGGCGUUCCUGGCUGGGGGAGGCCAGCAGCAGAUCCCCGCGGGCCAGGAUCUCCUCUCUCUGCAUGCGAGAAGUCAAGGCCUUGGCAACAGCUGCAGCCAGCUGGCAUCAUAUCCCGGCAAAAGUCAUUGUUUGGCCCAAACAGGAAGCCGCCCAAGGGGAAAUGUGGCCUCGCCUCAGUGAACCCCUGAAGAAUGGCCCCCGAGAAACUUGGGGACGUGCUGGCGG
rnacentral:lncRNA from 1 species